rnacentral:lncRNA from 1 species
GGGGGAUGUCAGCGCGUCGGCGAAAGGGCCCGCCAAUAGAAAAAGCCGUUGGUGUAUGCAAAUAAGGGCCCUAUGACGCAGAGACGCAGCGUGAAGCGUGGGUAUAAAAGCAGAAGCGCCGGGGGGGUUUGGAGCGCAGAGCGGUUUGGUCGUUCGUUGGAGUAGUAUCGUUCUUUUGCUCCGCAGCUGCAGGUCUUCACUGGGCAGCAGCUCGGCGCGGCGGUCGGAGAAGCGGCCUAAGAUUUCGGCGUUGGGUAAGCGUUCGCGGGGUUAGUGGUGAGUGCCCGCCCCUCCAGCCGUU